GACAGAGGGUGCAAACGUUGUUCGGAAUUACUGGGCGUAAAGCGCAUGUAGGCGGCCUAGCAGGUCGGAUGUGAAAUCCCUCGGCUCAACCAAGGAAGUGCAUUCGAAACCGCAAGGCUGGAGUCCCGGAGAGGAUGGUGGAAUUCUCGGUGUAGAGGUGAAAUUCGUAGAUAUCGAGAGGAACACCGGCGGCGAAGGCGGCCUUCUGGACGAGGACUGACGCUGAGAUGCGAAAGCGUGGGGAGCAAACAGG
rnacentral:rRNA from 1 species